UGCGUUGCAACUAAAAAAGGAUCGAUUCGUGAAGAAUAAACAAUAUAAAUCACUUAACAAUUAGAUAAUUAAUAAUAAAUUAAUUAAAAUUUGAUAAGAAACAGUUUCUGUCAAAACAUCGAAAUGAUAGGAAGGGCUACCAACUUGAAUUUUAUCCGAUUUAAAAUUAAUUAAUUUUUAAUAAUAAUUAAAUUAUUGAUGGUUUUUACUUUUUUAACUUCCCAACAAAUAAAAAGAUAAAGCAACAAAAUAAAGACGACCAAAACUUGUUCUGAAUAACGGUAAAAACAACCCUUUCCAAUUUCACUACAACCUAACCUCAAUCCUCAAUUAAAAACAACCUAACCUAACUUUCUUUGUUGCAAGAAAAACUUGAUAAAUGCGAUUUAGAGGAUUUAAUUGGACGUGGUAUUAAAUGAAUCGCAUUAAAUGAACGGGUAAAAAGAUACCACAAUUUUGGAUAACUUCGUCGCAAAAUCGAAGUAACACUUCAUUGAGAGGCUAAAUUUGUAUGUGGAGCAAUCAAUGAGAACCCAGAAGAAUAAUUUUUGAGGAUACAUAAAGAUCAAUUUUAAUAAUAAAAGAAGAGUAAUUAAAAUUAUGGAUUUGGUGUGGUUAAUAUUAACAAGUUUUAAGAAGAUUUUAGUGAUUGUUGGAGCUUUUUAAAUGAGGCAACAAAUUUUGUAUUUGCUACCAAAAACUACCUGCAAGCCACAAAUAUUGAAGAUGAAUUGGGGGCAAUAAAAAUGUCAGUUAUAACAUAACAAUCAAUGUUUUAUAAGGAAUACUAUGUAGAAUUUUUCAUUAACCCUUUUGGAAAGCCAAAAUAGGUCUUAUUUUAAUGGAUUAAAUCCUCCCAAAUAUAAUAACAAAAUUUCCCCAUUAAUUUAAAAUUUGUUUAUUAACCAAUUCAACAAUAAAAAGCAAAAAACACGAUUUAUUUCAUUCUUCAUUCUUAGAUAUUCGUUUAAAUUGUGAAAAUGUCACCAACCAUAACACAAUUUCCAGGGUGAGAAUACCACAAGCAACAUUCAUAACAGUUAUUAUUGGGAUUGAUGAUCCUAAAGCUGUCGUUAAAACAGUAUUGAUUUGGGGCAAAUGUAAAUGAAGAAUGAUCAAGGCAGUUGUGGUAAGAAGACAUUUCCCAGCGUGAAUUAAAAUCGAUGGCCAAAUAUAUUUAGAUUUUUCCUAAAAAAAUGUUUGUUUAAUCUUCGUUUUUGUUACUACGUUAAAGUUUACCAUCAUUAAUCCAAUAAUCAAAAAAAUAUCGCUUGUUAAUAAAAACAAAGAGAGAAUUAACGGCACCAAAUACAUCCGCAAACCUAAAGUUACGCCAAAUUGUAAUCCGAAUUGUGAUUUUAACCAAACUACUUUGUCUCGAUUGUAAUAUGCGUUAUACGAAAAGAAACCAAAUAAAAUUGCGUCAAUUAU